CCCUCCGUAGGUGAACCUGCGGAGGGAUCAUUACUGA
rnacentral:rRNA from 1 species